rnacentral:rRNA from 1 species
UACGUAGGGUGCGAGCGUUGUCCGGAAUUAUUGGGCGUAAAGAGCUCGUAGGCGGUUUGUUGCAUCUAUCGUGAAAACCUGCAGCUUAACUGUGGGCCUGCAGUGGGUACGGGCAGACUAGAGUGCGGUAGGGGAGACUGGAAUUCCUGGUGUAGCGGUGAAAUGCGCAGAUAUCAGGAGGAACACCUGCGGCGAAGGCGGGUCUCUGGGCCGAUACUGACGCUGAGGAGCGAAAGCGUGGGGAGCGAACAGG